GUUCUUGCUUCGGCAGAACAUAUACUAAAAAUUGGAAUGAUACAGAGAAGAUUAGCAUAGCCACUGCGCAAAAAUGACACUUAAUCGUGGCCUAAAGUAGCACAAAGAU